GACGAACGCUGGCGGCGUGCCUAACACAUGCAAGUCGAACGGGGUGUUCCUUCGGGGACACUUAGUGGCGAACGGGUGAGUAACGCGUGAGAAACCUGCCUUUCAGUGGGGGACAACAGUUGGAAACGACUGCUAAUACCGCAUAAUGUUUCGAGAGGGCAUCCUUUUGAAACCAAAGCUUUAUGUGCUGAAAGAUGGUCUCGCGUCUGAUUAGCUAGUUGGUGAGGUAACGGCUCACCAAGGCGACGAUCAGUAGCCGGUCUGAGAGGAUGAACGGCCACAUUGGGACUGAGAUACGGCCCAG
rnacentral:rRNA from 1 species